GGGUAUGUCCAGUCUUUUUUUAGUAGCCACUUAGUCACAAACACUGGUCAAAGUUAGCAUUUAUAUUUGUUUGUGUUAAAAAUGGAAAAAAAAAUUAUGAAUGCUGGCUUUGGCCAGCGUUUGUGACUAAGUGGCUACUAAAAAAGACUGAACAUAUUC